UAUGGUCCUCGUUGUUCAGCAUUCGCGUUAGCGUUGGCAGUAACGGUCACUUCUGGUUGCUCCUCAAUAAUGAUAAUCUCUUCUGGACGAGAUGAGACAGUAGCAGAAGCAGAAGCGCCAGCUGAAGCACCUUGGCCUUCUGGUCCUUGUGGUCCGUAUGGUCCGUUUGGUCCUGAUUGAGCAGAGGCAGCAGCGUUAGCAGCAGAUACGGGUCCAACUGGUCCUUGUGGUCCUGAUUGGGCAGAGGCGGCAGCGUUAGCAUCAGCUCCUGGGCCUUUUGGUCCUUGUGGUCCGUAUGGUCCUUGUUGUUCAGCAUUCGCGUUAGCAUUGGCAGUAACGGUCACUUCUGGUUGCUCCUCAAUAAUGAUGAUCUCUUCUGGACGAGAUGAGACAGUAGCAGAAGCAGAAGCGCCAGCUGAAGCACCAUGGCCUUGUGGUCCGUAUGGCCCGUUUGGUCCGUUUGGUCCUGAUUGAGCAGCAGCAGCAGCGUUAGCAGGAGCUCCU